AAAAUUAAUAGGAAAAUUCCCUCCUCCCUGCUAAAAAGAAGUUCUCCUUUCCCCAAUAUUCAGAUGUGUGGACUCUAAAGCCAGGACCAUUCCAUGUUCAGAAGACAAAAAAGAAUAAAUCAAUGUGAAGAGAAAGACCCCUGGUGCUUACAUGCUAUCUAACCACUGAAACUCAGAACCUAAAACAUCACUCCACAUUGCUAUGUGUUACUAGGUUUUAUUCUGAAACAUUAAAGAUAUAAUCCGGGAUGCUUGGGUGGCUUAGUGGUUGAGUGUUUGCCUUUGGCUCAGGUCAUAGUCCUGGGGCCCUGGGAUUGAGUCCUGCAUUGGGCUCCCCAGAUGGAGCCUGCUUCUCCCUCUGCCUAUGUGUCUGCGUCUCUCUGUGUGUCUCUCAUGAAUAGGUAAAAAUAAAAUCUUUAAAAAAAGGAUAUAAUUUGCAUUAGAAAACACUUUCCAUAUAAUAUCCAUAUAAUGUUACAGAAAUUGGUAAAAUGUGUGCAGUUCUUCAGGCUCACCUGAAAUUGUUAACAAACUGGCCCCCAAACUCCCAUUGUUCAACACUUUGGAACAGAAUAGCCUUAGGCCACCGAGAAUUCAGAGCAGAGAACAUAUAAUUCCUCCUCCCCCAACAGAACAAGUGAUACAAUGCCAACGCCGAUAAAACCCCUGGAACCAGGGCACCAUCACAAAUGAGCCAUCACAGGUAGAUUCUAACCCAUGUGGGCAGGCAGAGACAUACAGCCAGUAACAGUAGCUACUGUGAAACAUCAAAAUUUUCCUCCACCACUUUUAACCAGGAAAUAGCUCUUGAUUAACAAGUGAGCCCUGAUAGAAGUAGAACAUCUGACCAUGGGAGCCAAGCUGCCAUUGAUGGCUGAUAUGUCUUUCCCUGACCCAUCAAUUGACCAACCAACAAGAUUCCAUCUUCAAGGAAGAAUACGAAGACUGGGUCUGAGCAGAUUGCCAUAUAGAGGAAAAGUUUCGGACUUGGAUGCAGUUGUUGAUGGAAACAUUUUGUGCUCCUCUUUAGGAAGAAGGUAAGUCCAGGGCCCAUUACCCCAGAGUUAGUUAGAUAAGAGCAUAUUUGGGGAAUAUAAGAGUAAGAAGUAUGUAUAUGAGUAUUUAUAGUUCAAAAUAGUGAAGUGCAGAAUUUAUUUGUAUUGUGUUUUUUUGUGAGAGCCUCAACUACCUUUUUACUUGUAACAAUUCCCAACUACACAAAUUUGGAGAAACAGAAAGCUGUGCCUUCUACUCUAAAAGCUAAAUGGGGCCAGAACUCGGUCUCCUGAGCUACUGUGAACUGGUAUGCAGGACUGUGGCCAUGUCUCAAUUAACCAGAGGAUGCUAUGUUAACUUUGGAUCUUGUAUGAGUGACAUAAAGUCUUAGGACAUUUCAGAGAUGAUGUCCAGCAAGGUGUCAGUGUCCCUGGAAUAAUGGACUACCUAAGUGACACAUACCCAUCAGAGAAUCCCAUUCAGACUGUUCCUGUGGUUGUAAAGAUGGGUGCUUGGCAUUACUUGGUUUCUUUCAAUAUUCUGACCCUGGUUCCCCAGGUUUCCUUUGCUGAUUCUUUGAGUUACUUUCCAUCAGUACAUUAAGUUUAC
rnacentral:lncRNA from 1 species